rnacentral:rRNA from 1 species
CCUACGGGAGGCAGCAGUAGGGAAUCUUCCACAAUGGACGAAAGUCUGAUGGAGCAACGCCGCGUGAGUGAAGAAGGGUUUCGGCUCGUAAAACUCUGUUGUUAAAGAAGAACAUAUCUGAGAGUAACUGUUCAGGUAUGACGGUAUAACCAGAUUGGCCCGCCUG